rnacentral:lncRNA from 1 species
UGAUUGGGUAAAUGGCUAAAAACGUUUGUGCAGACAACAAGGAGAGACAUACAUCUGGAACAGGGCAUCUUUGACCUGGGAAGGAAUAACUCUCCUGUUAUUGGGAACAGUCCUUUCCUGUUGUGGUAAGCUGGACACAGCUGUUAUAUGUACUUUCCACUGCAGGAAACGCUCUGCAGUCUCUUUCGAGUGCUCAAGUGGGGACCUUAUCACUCCAAGGGCCGUGAUUUUCUGCUUUCUCCAAGGACAGGAGACAGCAGCUUUUCCCAAGGUUUACCAAAGACAGUGGCUUAGAAUUCCGAGGGCAAGAAGGAGUCUGCCCUGCUGUUGCUUUUUGUCUUUAAACAAACCAAACCCAAGAACACAUCAAAGUCACUAGUCACCAUGACCAAAUAGGCUUAUCUCAGCAUUGCACGGUUGGUCCAAUACAUGAAAAUCUGUUAACACAAUCUACUUCAUAAACAAAAUCAAAGAAAAAAAUCACAUGAUCAUCUCAUAAAGUGCUAAAAUAGCAUUUGUCAAAAUACAACACCCCUUCCUGAUAAAAGUAUUGGGGAGAUCAGGAAUUCAAGACGCAUACCCAAACACAUUAAAA